rnacentral:rRNA from 1 species
AGAGUUUGAUCCUGGCUCAGAAUCAACGCUGGCGGCGUGCCUAACACAUGCAAGUCGAACGCGAAAGGGGAGCAAUCCCUGAGUAGAGUGGCAAACGGGUGAGUAACACGUGGGUGACCUGCCUUCGAGUGGGGGAUAACGUUCCGAAAGGAACGCUAAUACCGCAUGACAUCCUGCUCUUGGACGAGCGGAGAUCAAAGCUGGGGAUCGCAAGACCUGGCGCUUGAAGAGGGGCCCGCGCCUGAUUAGCUAGUUGGUGAGGUAACGGCUCACCAAGGCAACGAUCAGUAUCCGGCCUGAGAGGGCGGACGGACACACUGGGACUGAGACACGGCCCAGACUCCUACGGGAGGCAGCAGUGGGGAAUUGUUCGCAAUGGGCGCAAGCCUGACGACGCAACGCCGCGUGGAGGAUGAAGAUCUUCGGGUCGUAAACUCCUGUCGAAUGGGAAGAACGUUUCGUGGAUGAAUAAGCCGCGGAAGUGACGGUACCAUAAAGAGCC